rnacentral:lncRNA from 1 species
CCAGGAAGCGCCUGCGCGGAGCAGUGGGAAGGUCACGGCCCGGCCGGGCCCUAGCUGUGCUCCGGCCCACGCCAAACUGGAGGACCCUGCUUAAUCCAAGAUCGCCAAUGAGGAGUCAGUAGAGUCCUGAGAGUCAGUUCUAACGCUUCAAGAGGAUUUUAACUCUCUUUCCCCUCUCAGUCCCCAGGAACUCAUGCUCCGCUCGACGUUGGCUUCCGCGGAACAUGAACCUACAAGCUUGAAGCCGCCCCUUCUCCCCACCGCCAGCCCUCACCAGUGUAGUGUGCCUGUCCUCAGUUGAAAGAUGAGCCAAGUGAGAAUGUUGGAUGAAGGAACCAAAUUGAUAUUCAUCAUCCUAUUGAAAACAACUCAGAUCCACAGGUCUUCUGAUGGCAGUCUGUGGCUGAACCAUGUGAAUGAAAGUUGGGCAGGUUCAAGGAAAAGGCAGGAAGUGGGCUUUCUUUGUCACAAGGAAAAGCCAGGAGAGUCAAUGAGUCGACAGCAUGAUUUCAGCACUGCCUUUGUUCAAAGACAUAGACUGCAACUCAGUAGGAAUAUAGAACUACCAUGGGCCACACAUGUUCAAGACUUUCCUGCCAGUCAGGGGACCAGAGAAAUGCUGGUCUCGCAGAGCCAGCUAGCGUGUCUCUACAUGAAGAUGGCAGCGGACACCUUUUUGAGAACAAGGAAAUCCCAGCGGAAGGAAGGAUCUAUCAGUUGCUCCUGUUUCAUGCCAAGAAUUCUAAGUGAGAAGCCUUCCCCUAGAGGCUCAGAGAAGGCUGGAAGGCAUCUGUAGGUGAACAGGGCUGCUCUUCAUUGUGACCCAUGGUGCAGAGAAGCUCUGAACUCAGCGCAAAGGGGUGACCAGCCCCUUAAAAUCAGGAGAACGGGAGUUCUUGUCCUGGCUCAGUGGUUAACGAACUCGGCUAGCAUCCAUGAGGAUGUGGGUCAGAUUCCUGGCCUUGCUCAGUGGGUUAAGGAUCUGGCAUUGCCAAGAGCUGUGGUGUAGAAGUGAGAUGCGGCUCAGAUCCCUUGUUGCUGUGGCUGUGGUGUAGGCUGAUGGCUACAGCUCUGAUUGGAUCCCUAGCCUGGGAACCUCUGUAUGCCUUGGCCCCGGCCCUAAAAAACCAAAAAAAAAAAAAAAAUCAGGAAAAUGUAUUUAUCCAUGACCUAGCCCACUGGGGGCACAGGAAGGGGGGGAGGGGAUUGUCACCAGCUGUAGUCACAAAGCUUGUCUGAGUCCCUUUCCCUAAGCAAAAGGGCUGUGUGAGUUUAUGUAGGGAAAUGCCAGUUAAAAAAAAGAGUUAAACUGAUUUUAAAAAGUUAAAGGUCUUUUCUGCAGGACCUUUCAGGGGUUUCAGAAAAUGAGGUAAUGUGAAAAUGUACAUUGUGACAACUCCAAGAAUGGCAUAGAGCAUGCAGAAUUUUGUUGUUGUUGUUGUUCUUUUUAGGACUGUGCCAUGGCAUUUGGAAGUUCCCAGGAUAGGGGUCAAAUCAGAGCUGUAGCCAUUGGCCUUCACCAUAGCCACAGCAACGCCAAAUCCGAGGUGCGUCUCGCUCCAUAGCUCUAUGCCGGAUCCUUAACCUGCUGAGUGAGGCCAGGGAUAGAACCUGCAUCCUCAUGGAUAUCAGUCAGAUUUGUUUCCUCUGAGCAACGACAGGAACUUCAGAACAUGCAGAAUCNGUUUCCUCUGAGCAACGACAGGAACUCCAGAACAUGCAGAAUAAUGAAAUACUUGCCUGUGCAGCAUUUGGGAGGCACUUGUGUUCUGAGGAAAACCCUUGGGGAAACACUGAUCUAAUCCGACCUUCUCAUUUUACCAGAGAGCAACUAUGGUCAGGCAUUUUUUACCUGUGGGGCCCUGUCAGGUUCCUUUCUUCAUCACUGUUACACACUUGUUGGAAUUAACUUGAUCAAAAUUGGGGGGCAGCUUUGAAGAGAUCUCUUUUAUUCAUAAACCCUUUUUGUAUGUUUCAAGGGCAAAUUACACUAUAUAUUUUGAGUUUCCAUGGUCAAGAACCAGAUUAAUGCAACUAAACCUUAUAUAAUAUCACUUUUACCUAAAGAUCUUUACAUACAAAGAUAGAAACUGUAGUUCUUACUAUACAGGACAUUAAUAAUAAUGACAAAUACUAUACUGAUGGCCAUAAUAUGACCAUCUAACAUUUAUCAAAUGCCUUUCUGUUUGUCAGACACCUUAGUAAUACUUUUAUCUUCCCAGCAGUUUAUGUGGUUGGGGUUAUAAUAACCCCCAUUUCACAGUGAUGAAGAGGGUAAGACAUUAUUCCACGGCCACAUGCAGCUGGAGGAGAGAAGGUAUAUGGAAAUAUUCCUUAUGAGUGACACAAAGUGCUAUAUGAAUUCUGAGAAAAAUAAAAUUUUCAAAAGACUUGAUCA